GUACACGCUGUGACUAGCAUAUCAAUAAGCGGAGGAAAAGAAACUAACAAGGAUUCCCCUAGUAACGGCGAGUGAAGCGGGAAGAGCUCAAAUUUGAAAUCUUAAAGGGUUUCCCUUUACGAAUUGUAGUUUAAAGAAGUGCUUUUCUGUUGAGGUUUUGGUAAAAGUUCUGUGGAAUAGGACAUCAUAGAGGGUGAGAAUCCCGUAUUUGACCUUUACUUUCAACUUUGUGAUACACUUUCAAAGAGUCGGAUUGUUUGGGAAUGCAGUCCAAAAUGGGUGGUAAAUUUCAUCUAAAGCUAAAUAUUGGCGAGAGACCGAUAGCGAACAAGUACCGUGAGGGAAAGAUGAAAAGAACUUUGAAAAGAGAGUUAAACAGUACGUGAAAUUGUCAAAAGGGAAGCGUUUGACACCAGUGUUGUUUUUCUGAAAAUCAAUUAAAGAACUGUUUAUGCUAAGUUGUUUAGACUUUAUCAGCUAACUGUUUAGUUUUGAGCUUUUCUUUAAUGCACUUUUCAGUUAACAAGUCAACAUCAAUUUCUUUUGCUGUAAAAAAGCUUGAGGAAGGUGGCUUGAGAUUCGUCUUAAGUGUUUAUAGCCUCUUGCCUAUGCAGUCGGAGAGAUUGAGGUCUGCAGCGUAGAUCCUUCGGGGCUAAAUGCAUUUGUGCUAAGUUAUAACAUUUUAUAGACAACUUGUUGACUAUGAUUUGUCUUGUAGCUUACUCGCUUAUGUUAUUUUACCUACGCUUAGGAUGUUGACAGCAGUAUAGACUGU
rnacentral:rRNA from 1 species